rnacentral:misc_RNA from 1 species
GAUGAAGAACGCAGCGAAAUGCGAUACUUGGUGUGAAUUGCAGAAUCCCGUGAACCAUCGAGUCUUUGAACGCAAGUUGCGCCCGAAGCCAUUAGGCCGAGGGCACGCCUGCCUGGGCGUCACACGUCGUUGCCCCCCCAUCUACUCCUUCGGGAUUGCGGGGGGCGGAUGAUGGCCUCCCGUGCGCCUCGCCGCGCGGUUGGCAUAAAUGCCAAGUCCUCGGCGACGCACGCCACGACAAUCGGUGGUUGCGAAACCUCGGUUGCCCGUCGUGUGCGGUCGUCGCGCAUCGAGGGCUCGAAAAAAUUGCCGGGUUCCGGCUCGGCUUUCAACGCGACCCCAGGUCAGGCGGGGUUACCCGCUGAAUUUAAGCAUAUCAAUAAGCGGAGG